UGAAGCCAAUCUGCAUCUGUCAUCCAAGUCUAGUACCUUUGCAUUAAAACAGUGCAUCAAGUUUGUGAACUCAUCGGCUUUCACACCACACAUGCAGGGAUAUUGUCCUCCGUGUUGUUGGCCGCUUUCGAAUUGCCUAGCAGGCCCAUUUCCACUAAAUAGUCUUAGACAAUCGUAAACCUCAAUGUUUUCAUGAUGUAUUGGGGAAGUAAUAUUUCUCAGAUCAUCAACUCUACUUUUCAGGUGUGUUUCUUGGAGAGUGAGGAUGAUUUUAUAGAGUUUCAGAAAUAACAUGUGUGAUAAAGUGGAUACAGCAGAUUGAUCAAGUACAAGUUAACACCAGGUAAUAGCGACUAAUUGGACUAUAUGUGGCACAUGUGAUUUUCGCCAUAUAACUAAACCAUCAGUAUUUUGGUGUUCCGAGUGUGACGAAGGCCUAUGUCAUGAGUGCACUGAACAUCACAGCAUCUCCAAGGCAACUAGGGGACAUAGUACAGUUUCUAUCGAUGAAUACAACAAACUACAAUCAACAAUUCUAGAAAUAACACAAACAUGCAAAGACCACAAUGAAAAAAUUCAAAUAUACUGUAAUAAACAUGAUUGUCCAUGUUAUAAAAAGUGCAUUGUGGAGAGUCACAACGAGUGCAAAGAAUUUGUUGAUAUUGACGAUGUUAUAAAAGAUGUUAAAUCAUCAAAUGCGUUCGUGGAUAUCGAACACACCUUGGCAGAAAUUUCUGAAAAUAUUAAAAGAAUUAGAAAAGACCGCGAAGAGAAUCUUACAUCAAUCAAGGAAACAAGAGAAAUUGUCGAGUCUGAAAUAAAAAUGACAGGAAUUUCAAGUCUUUAGAAAUUUUUUUCAAUUGGCACAAAGACAAUAACAGCAGAAUAUUCGAUACUACUUUAUUAGAACAUCUCUAUAUCUGGAAUAAUAGAUAAUAAUAAUAAAUAAUUUGUUAAUUAAAGUGUCACUCACUUAUUGAUUGAAAUAAAAAAAUAAUUCAUACGCAAUAUCUAUAAUACUAGAAUAACGAUGUCCAAUUUGUUAGCCGUCAUGGCUUAAACACGACGAAGCAAAGAAUUCAACUUUAUAUAUAACUAAUAUAGGACAAUGGUGUUGAUUCAAAAUUACACCAUUCCAGGUCCUUUUGUUUUCAACAUAGUUAAUAUUGCCAAUAAUUAACAAGUUCGGGGUCAAAUCCGAUACCGAAACCAAUAGUAUAUGUUACAUGUAUGUAUGUUCUGUAUCUUCCGCCUUUAAUAAGAGCACUACCAUGGGUCAUAGUGUAAAGGAGGACUUGUUACACACUGUAAUAUUUUGGGUUAUUAAAUAUUGAUAUUUUAUCUUAA